AUCUCCAAGCUCAGCUCGAAGAGUCCAACAAGGAGAAGCAGGAGCUACAGGAGAAGCUACAAGCUCUGCAGAGCCAGGUGGAGUUCCUAGAGCAGUCCAUGGUGGACAAGUCCCUUGUCAGCAGGCAGGAAGCGAAGAUCAGGGAGCUGGAGACACGCCUGGAGUUCGAAAAGACCCAAGUGAAACGUCUGGAGAGCAUGGCCAGUCGGCUCAAAGAAAACAUGGAGAAGCUGACUGAGGAACGGGACCAGCGCGCUGCAGCUGAGAACCGUGAGAAGGAGCAGAACAAGAGGCUCCAGCGACAGCUCCGUGACACCAAGGAGGAGAUGAGCGAGCUUGCCAGGAAGGAAGCUGAGGCUAGUCGCAAGAAGCACGAACUGGAGAUGGACUUGGAGAGUCUGGAAGCCGCUAACCAAAGCCUGCAAGCUGACCUAAAGCUGGCGUUCAAACGCAUUGGGGACUUGCAAGCCGCCAUUGAGGAUGAGAUGGAGAGUGAUGAGAAUGAGGACCUUAUCAACAGUGAGGGCGACUCAGACGUGGACUCAGAGCUGGAGGACCGGGUCGACGGUGUCAAGUCCUGGUUGUCAAAGAACAAGGGACCCUCUAAGGCACCUUCCGACGAUGGCAGCUUAAAGAGUUCCAGCCCAACCAGCCACUGGAAGUCCCUCGCCCCCGACCUGUCGGAUGAUGAGCACGAUCCUGUGGACAGCAUCUCCAGACCCCGGUUCUCCCACAACUAUCUGAGUGACAGUGACACAGAGGCCAAGCUGACAGAGACCAACGCAUAGCCUUGGAAGUGGCUCAGCCCUCCCACCCCACAGCCUCUCCCAGGAAAUAGAGGGGUACCACUGCCCCCACUUGACAGCCGAUCUGCAUGGAAAACACCUCGGCUUUCUGCCGGGAACUUCCCAGGCUGUGGGUGUCUGACGGCUCCACGUGGAAGAGGUGGGGAAGCAGAGUCUGUCAGGAGAGUCUCCACUCUUGCCUCAGAUGCCGUGCUCUUAGCUCCCAUCCAGGGCCACUAAGGACCAUGUUUGGUGGCCUGGCACUUCAUGGAGCCCGUAGUGGACCUCCAUCUCAGCCUCCUGCUCAGGGAUGGUGGAUAGGUUACCUGCUGGACCGCUCCAAGUGGCUGGGCCCAUGGGAAAGAGUCAGGAGGGAGCUGCAGUGCCUCCCCUCUGCUGGGGCCAGGGCUUUCUCUUCUCAGUGCCUGCUGUCUUUUUACUGUUUAAUUUAAAUACCCAAACCUCCAUGCAGCUGCAUCCCUGA
rnacentral:lncRNA from 1 species